GAUGAACGCUGGCGGCGUGCCUAAUACAUGCAAGUCGAGCGAACGGACGAGAAGCUUGCUUCUCUGAUGUUAGCGGCGGACGGGUGAGUAACACGUGGAUAACCUACCUAUAAGACUGGGAUAACUUCGGGAAACCGGAGCUAAUACCGGAUAAUAUUUUGAACCGCAUGGUUCAAAAGUGAAAGGCGGUCUUGCUGUCACUUAUAGAUGGAUCCGCGCUGCAUUAGCUAGUUGGUAAGGUAACGGCUUACCAAGGCAACGAUGCAUAGCCGACCUGAGAGGGUGAUCGGCCACACUGGAACUGAGACACGGUCCAGACUACUACGGGAGGCAGCAGUAGGGAAUCUUCCGCAAUGGGCGAAAGCAUGACGGAGCAACGCCGCGUGAGUGAUGAAGGUCUUCGGAUCGUAAAACUCUGUUAUUAGGGAAGAACAUAUGUGUAAGUAACUGUGCACAUCUUGACGGUAACUAAUCAGAAAGCCACGGCUAACUACGUG
rnacentral:rRNA from 1 species